rnacentral:rRNA from 1 species
ACGCUCGACACCUACGGGAGCAGCAGUAGGGAAUCUUCCACAAUGGGCGCAAGCCUGAUGGAGCAACACCGCGUGAGUGAAGAAGGGUUUCGGCUCGUAAAGCUCUGUUGUUGGAGAAGAACGUGCGUGAGAGUAACUGUUCACGCAGUGACGGUAUCCAACCAGAAAGUCACGGCUAACUACGUACCAGCAGCCGCGGUAAUCUGAGCGGGCUGGCAAGGC